GGACACAGAGGCUUAAAUGACAGGCAUUCAAAUUAAACUACCUGAUCAGAAAGUGCUCUGAAGUUCUGAUUAAUUUAAGAAUCUUGAGUUGGGGAGGUUAUCUUGCAUUAUCUCAGUGGCCCUAAAUGCAAUCACAAAUGUCCUUAUAAGAAGGAAGCAGAGAAUUUGAUUAUAGAAGAAAAACAGGCAAUGUGAUGAUGAAAGCAGAGACUGGAGUGAUAUGCUUUGAAGAUGGAGGAAUGGGCAAUAAGCCAAGGAAUACAGGAGGCCACUAGAAGCUGAAAAAGUCAAGGAAACAGAUUCUCUCUUCAGAGCCUACAGAAAGAACCAACUCUGCUGAUACUUUGCUUUUAGCCCCAUCAGACUUCUGGCCUCC
rnacentral:lncRNA from 1 species